CAACAGCAAGUGGUGGAUCACUCGGCU
rnacentral:rRNA from 1 species